rnacentral:ribozyme from 14 species
UUUUUUUUUUUUUUUUUUUUUUUUUUAUUUUUUUUUUUUUUUUUUUUUUUUUUUUUAAAAAUUAAAGAAUAUGUCGAAAA